rnacentral:rRNA from 1 species
UGGUAAUGCCGGAUGCUCCAGCUGAUCGCAUGGUCUUCUGGGAAAGCCUUUGCGGCAUGGGAUGGGGUCGCGUCCUAUCAGCUUGAUGGCGGGGUAACGGCCCACCAUGGCUUCGACGGGUAGCCGGCCUGAGAGGGCGACCGGCCACAUUGGGACUGAGAUACGGCCCAGACUCCUACGGGAGGCAGCAGUGGGGAAUAUUGCACAAUGGGCGCAAGCCUGAUGCAGCGACGCCGCGUGAGGGAUGGAGGCCUUCGGGUUGUAAACCUCUUUUGUUAGGGAGCAAGGCAUUUUGUGUUGAGUGUACCUUUCGAAUAAGCACCGGCUAACUACGUGCCAGCAGCCGCGGUAAUACGUAGGGUGCAAGCGUUAUCCGGAAUUAUUGGGCGUAAAGGGCUCGUAGGCGGUUCGUCGCGUCCGGUGUGAAAGUCCAUCGCUUAACGGUGGAUCCGCGCCGGGUACGGGCGGGCUUGAGUGCGGUAGGGGAGACUGGAAUUCCCGGUGUAACGGUGGAAUGUGUAGAUAUCGGGAAGAACACCA